CUGAGGUCCUUUUGCCUGUGGUGGUAGCCUCGUUUUUUGUUUUUUUGUUUUUUUGUUUUUUUUUUUUUUGCUGUUUGCAGGUAAGUCUUGCAGCUGCUCGCUGUUUGGGUCUACACAGUCUUAAUGAGCUGUAAUACGUGAAGGUCUGCAGCUUCACUCACCAGGAGCAAUGAACAACUCCAGACGCGCCUCCUUAAGAGCUGCAAUACACCGCGAGGGUGUGCAGCCUCACUCCUGAACCAGUGAGACCACGAACCCACCAGAAGGGAAAAACUCUGAACACAUCUGAACAUGAGAAGGAACAAACUCCGGAUACGUUGCCUUUAAGAAGUGUAACACUCACCCCGAGGGUCUGUGGCUUCAUUCUUGAAGUCAGACCAAGAACUCACCAAUUUGGGACACAGCUUACCUCCCUUCCUCCUGAGUGUGGGGUGGCCUUAGUGAUUCACUGAUACUAGAACGUGUCAGAAGCGAAGGUGUGCAACUUCCAAGACUAGGUCGUAAAAGGCCUUGUGUCUUCCUCCUUGCUCUGUUCCUGGGUUCUUUUAAUCUGGAAAGCCAACUGCCAUGCCCUCAUAUAAGGGCACUUAAGCGGCCUUGGGGAGAAGACCACAUGGUGAAGAACUGAGACGUCUUGUCAACAGCCAGAAAGAAGAGGAAGUAGUCGUUGGUGUGUGCCUCGGCCCAGCUGCCUGCCAUCUGGACUCAGACCCACAGACCCCUGGUCUUCCACCAUAAUCCUGCCCUUCCCCUCACCUCCCUCCUCAUAGCCAUGUCGGAAGAAGGAGCCAAGGGCCAAGGGGCCUACCAGUCCCCAACGGGUGGUCCUUCAUGUUUCUGCAUCUAACCAAGGAGCUGUCAUCUUCCUGAGAGCCCAGCGGUGUCCAUUCAGUGCACAACAGCUGGCUGGGUCUGAGUUCUGAGCUCUGCCCCUCGUUCUGUCUGUCCCUGGAUGAGUCACUUGAUUUUCUAACUGGACCUGUUUGCUCAUCUGCAAAAUGAAGAGGUAAAACAAGCUGGCCUCUAACCUUCUGUGCACUUAAAACAUUCCAUGCCGCUAUGACCAUGACCAGCUUUGACUGGAGAAAGUGUCCGUUAGCAUUAAAGAGAGGAGCAUCACACGAUGUCAUCCACAACGUCCCUGCAGAGCACACAGUGAUGAACAUGUUGGAGAGUUCCAGCAUUCCUCAAUGAAAUCCAGAGAUAUAACACCCUCGAACUCAAUUCAGAAUGGUUUUUCAGGAGGCCAAAGCCAUCUGGAUCUUAUUUGUGGUAGUUUUGAAGGUCCACAGUGAUCUAAAGAGAAAAGCUACAUUCUCUAGAGCAGUGCUUUCCAAAGAACACCAGAAUCUCGUGCGUGGUUGUGCUUCACAAACCUGCUGCCAAAUAGGCUUGGGGAAAGCUGGGUUUCUUUACUGCAGGAUUUUUCAGAGCUGCUAAUAGGCUAAUGUGCCCUGAACUUUGAGCCGCUACUAGAGACAUUUUGCUUCAUCUUCUUAACUGCCUGUUUGGUUUUGCUAUUUUGCUAAUUCCGUUUUAGAGAUGAGAAAAGGGGGCUCAGAGAGAUUAAGUAACAGCCCAGAGUCCUAGAGCUUGGAAGUGAAGGGGCUGGGAUUUGAACUCAGGUCUAGUCUGAGUCUAUGGCCCUGUUUCUAACGCUGCUGUAUUUUCAUUCUAUGUGAGUAAGCUCCAGGAAGUUUCCAGUCCUGAGAUGCUGCCUUAGUCUCAGCUAAAACAUCUCAGAGAAAAUGAAACAGAGGGUAGGUUUCUGGGGAAGCAGAGGGGGUGCUGCUGUGUUUGUGUAUUUAAAGCCUCAGGCAUAAGGACCUGUUCCCUGGGGACAAUUCAUGCUGGGGGGAUGAGGACUCACAGGUGUCUGCACUACUACUCACAACUCCAGUCUCUGGAAGAUUAAGUCAGGUGAAGAGUGCCAUGCUUUUACCAAAAAAAAAAAAAAAAAAUACACAAAGACUUCGUGGCGGUUCCAAGGUACUCAUUCUAGAGAAAUCCACUGUGGCACCCCAGAUUUGUACCACAUGACUCCCCUCCCCCACAUAACUGAUGGACAGG
rnacentral:lncRNA from 1 species